CCAAAGACGGGCAAUUCCAAGCAGGAAACCCCCAAAAUUUCGUCCCAAUCUAAGGGUAAGCCUCUUAAGAGUGGGGGCAAAUCCAAUUCUAAUGGCACUGGUAAGUCAAAGUCUGGUUCGUCAAAGGUGAAAGAAAGUGAAAGCGUGAAAGAGAGCUCAACUGAUUCAGGAAAAGUUGUGGGAAGUGUGAAGCGGAAAGCGCCAAGUUUGUUGAAGGCGCAGGGAAGUGAUUCGAAGUCUGGAAAAAAGAGGCAAAGAUGAGUUGAAAGUCGCACCUACUGCAUUGUCGCUGCCAAGGGUUGGUUCUUCUCCAAUGUGGAACUUGGGUGAAUUGUAGUAUUUAUUGUAGCAUUUGGGUAUUUGACGUAGAUCUUAGGUUUGUGGCUAGCAAAUAUUCGUAGUUAAUGCAGUUUAUAGUGGUUGUACUUUGUAGGGUUACGAUACCUUUUUUAUAUAGAUAUAGUUUUUUUUCCUUUUCCUUUAUUAUUGAUGCCAGGCGUUAGGAUCACAUUGGGUUUAGAGUUUUUGCCUUUGUACCAAAGAGUUGCUUCUAUAGAUUAACUGUGGAAGCAGUGGUGGCGUAUCCUUUUCUAUCGAAUGCCUUCCCCUUUUUAACGAUUUGCUUUUUUUUUUUGUUUGGUCCGAUUACAUUUUCUUGAAAGUAAAUAUAGAACUUAACUGAUAGUACACGAGAUGCGGUAUUAUCUAUUUCUAAAUUUAUGAAGUUUUUCCUAUUCUUUUAAAUUACAAUUACAAAUUGAAGUGGUGUCAACAUUGCUGUUUGGCUGCUGUACUCUACGUAGAAGUAAACGAAAUCGAAGAGGUUUUGGAUUUUCAUCUUCGUUUGAUAUUAAGAAGUGCUCGUCUUGGUGAAGACUGUAGAUGAAUGGUUGGAAUUAAUUUUUACACGUCGAUUGGCGAUAAAGCAAAUGGGAAAGGGAUUCGACAAAUUCUGGUGAAGGCUAACGUGGGAAUGUUGAGGUUCAAUGGCUUCACAAAUGGAUGAUCACCAGCAUUUAAUUGUUUCAUUUGUUUGAAUUUUUGGUCAAAUUCUGGAUUUAUUUCUUAAUUUUGAUUCAGUUUUUAUAUUUUUUAUUAAUUGGUCAAUUUCUAUAGUAGCUUGAAUUGUAGUAAUUAAAUUUCACUAUUAAUCUAGUAUUAUGUGAAAAGUUAUAAAUUUCAUUUCUAUUCUUUGGAUUAUAAUUUUUUUGUAAGUAAAUCUAGAACUUAACUGAUAGUAGCGGAGUAAGGUAUUAUAUAUUUCUAUAUUUGUAAAGUUUUUCCCAUUCUUUUUCAUUACAAUUACAAAUUGAAGAGUUGUCAACAUUGCUGUUUGGCUUUUGUAUCGCUUCGUAGAAGUAAACGAAAUCGAAGAGGUUUUGGAUUAUAGCUAGAGCGACUGUUUGUUAAAGCAAGCAAGCUUCAAUUUAAAUAUUAGGGAAGAUUGUGGUUGUUUCCGUCACUCUGUCGUAUCCAGAAGGGGGGAAAAAAUGAGGAUGUAAUCGAUUUAAACGAUUAUAGAUCUGCGAAGAAAGAAAAAGAUAGUCAUUGAGUAGUUGGAGUUGACAAAUGUAAUAAGUUGAGGAGGAUCUAUUUCAGGAGGACUUUAACUGUGAAAUUAGAUAAUCCUUAUUAUUAGAAAAUUGAAAAUAUUGAUACGACUAUUUUUAAACGUGCAUAAAUAAAUUAUUCUAUGAAAGCGUUGAAACUUGUAUGGAUAUGACUACUGAUAUAAUAUAUAUAUAUAUAUAUAUAUUUUUUACAAAAGACAGUUGAAACUAAAUUAAAAGCGAAAUGAAAAUAUAAUCCUUUUCCAAUUGCGAUUCCGGAGCUACGACCAACGAAAUGGAUGAAAUUGACAUGAUUUUGAUUGACCAAAGGUAUGUUGGAUAAACUUUAUUCCAUUGUUUAAUAUUGGUUAUAGUUUAUGAUCUUAAAUGACAAAUGUAUACUACUUUUAAAGGCAUGACAUUUGUUGCUUAAUGCCUAAAAAAUUGGAAACAUUCAUCUUAACAUUGUUAAUUAAAAAUUAAUUAAAUACAAAAAUAGAGUGCGAAACAAAUUAAUUACAAAAAUGAGGUGUUUGUUAUAGUAUUUUGUCAACAUUCCUUUAUUGGAAGAAAAUUGUUUGAGACAUAUUUAAGUUGUCGGAAAUUACAGAUUGUAAAGUCAUUAUUCGUGAGCACUAUUCAAAUUAAAAGUGAUGAUUUAUCAUCCAAUAGAUACAUUUCCAUGGGACAUAUUUCUCUCAAAAAGUAUGUCCAAUAUGAAGGGUUGUGUAAUACCCCUACCUGUAUUCGUCGCCGAAAUAGGAUAUGAGGCGUUACCAGAUUUUACCGAAUAAAUUUUUCGUUAUUACGAGUUAAAUACUAUUCAUUUAUCGAAACAUGUCAUGACGUCCCUUGGAUGGGCCUUCGAAGCCCAAAACAUACAUCGGGACCAAACCGAGAUUAAAUCGAAACCAUAAGAAAUUUUUUGCAAAAUCCCCAAGUUUUUUUUUUUUUGAACUCAAUAUAACCCCUUUAUAAAUAUCUAAUUUUCCCCGCAAUUUUAAACCGAGACCAAUCCAACACAACCAAUCCAUUUCAACAUAUUUUCAAGAUAGAUUUAACAUAUUCAUAAGAUAACCUCAUCACAUACCAAUACCAAAAUUUGUUAGCCAUACCAAUGGCUAACCAUACAUUCAUUUCACAUUAACAUUUACUUUACUAGCUUAUACAUGCCAUUGAUUUCCAAAAUAAAGUUUCUUUAUAUACCGGGAUCUUGAGGUUGAUAGUGUGAUGCGUCUCCCACUAAAUCCAACCUCCGAGCUCUUAACACUACAACACAGGGGAAAAUGAAACAGGGUAAGCACUUUGUGCUUAGUAAGCUCAUGUAACAAGAAUUAUACUUACCUAAUAUUGUCAAUACAAUGCAAUAAACAUUCAUACAUCCAUUCAAUGCAUUUUUCCCUUAACAUGCACAAACUCAACAUUCAAGUUAGUUCAAUAAUUUCCAUGUAUCAAUAAUAUAUAUACCAUGAUUGAUGAGCUCAUCAAUACCAUGAUUUUCAUUUCCUUGUUAUUUUUCCAUAUUUAUCCCAUUAAAUUUCUCCGAAUUUUGAUUGAUUUUCAGGGAUACACUUUAGUGUACAAAUUCGGGUCCGUCAAUUCAUAUUCAUGUGCACACAUUUCCAUUUCAGAGAGCACACUCUCAUGAAUUUAAUCUUUACAGCGGGAUUACCAGCCCAGGCUAAAUCCCCUGUAAUAUAAACUUAUAAAGUAUUGUCGGGAUUACUAGUCUAGGCUAAAUCCCCUGCAAUGACAAUUGCUCUAAUGAGCUUGGAUCUGAAUUACCAGUCCAGGCUAAAUUCAGACCCUAAUUCGGAUUACCCAUCCGGGCUAAAUCCAUUUUCCACAUAUUCUUCGGGAGAGCUAUAUCAGGAUAGGAUCACCUGUCCGGGCUAGAUCUUUUUUACCGUCAAUUCAUUUUCAGAGAUCUAUCGAAUUUUCCUUCCAUUCAACCGGGGUUUCUUCCCUUUUUUAUCAAAUAUAUCAAUGUUUCAUCAAUUUUCAUACAAUGAACAUUCAAAUCAUAUUCACAUCAAUAACAUACAUUUCAAGCAUUUAAGAAUAUAAUUCAAGUUACACGAACUUACCUCGAUACUUGUUAAUAAACAAAAAUCUACUAAUCUCGAACUUUUUCAUGUUCAUAUGUAACAUUUAAUCAUUAAUCUAAUACAUUUCAUGUUCAUAUGUAACAUUCUCUAUAAUUCCAUUAUAUUUAUAUAUAGUUCAUUCAAAGUUGUCUCAUUGAGUCAUAGUCACUAAAUUAUUUAUAUCUUGAGCCACAGAACUCCAAAUUAAGAUCCGUUAAUUUUCACCAAAACUAUACUCACAUAUCUUCUUACCAUAAAAUUUUCAGAAGUUUUGGUUUAGCCAAUAAGUACAGUUUAUUAUUUAAAGUCACCCCUGUUCUGCUGUCUGGCAGUUUCGACCCUUCUUCACUAAAAAUUAAUUAUCUUCUCAUACAAGAUUCGAAUGAUGCUCUCGUUUGUUUCUUUUGAAAUAGACUCAUUAAUGGUUUUAAAAAUAUAAAUUUAAGUCCCUAAUUAUUUUUCUCCAAUUUUUUAUGAUUUUUCCAAAGUCAAAACAGAGGGACCCGAAAUCAUUCUGACAUUGUCUCACAAAACCUAUUAUAUCUCAUGAUUUACAAUUUCAUUGCUUACACCGUUUCAUCUAUGAGAAACUAGACUCAAUAAGCAUUAAUUUCAUAUUUUAUUAAUCCUCUAAUUAAAUUUCCAUAAUUUAUGGUGAUUUUUCAAAGUUAACCUACUGCUGUCCAAAACUGUUUUAGUGCAGGAUGUUAAUUACCAUUUUUCCUCCAAGCUUUCAAUAAAUGAUAAUUUCAUUCUUGCUCAAUUAACCUCUCAAUUGAGCUGAUUUUUCUCAAUUAACACUUUAUUCCAUCACUUUAAACUACUUUAUAACCUUUGGAAGUCAGAAUUUCAGCACUAGACUUUAAUUCCAAACCUUUUCACAAUUAGGUCCAACAAAUCAAUAUCUAUUGAAAUUGCCUAAUAAAAUCAUAUCAUAAACAAAUUAAAGUUUCAAUUUCAUGCUAAAUCGUCAUAUACUUCCAGCACAUAUUCAUAGAAACUUUCAAUUUCCUUCAUAAAAUCCAAAACUAAUGAAUUCAACAAGUGGACCUAGUUGUAAAAGUCACAAAAACACAAAAAUUUCAGGAAAUAAUCAAGAAUUGAACUUACUUGUAGUAAAAAUAUGAAAAUUCAGCUUAAGGAAACCUUCUAUGGUGUUCUUUUUGCUGGUGAGAAUGCAGAAAAAUAAAGAGAAAUCUAGAUAAUUCCACUUUAGUCCUAACUUUUAAAGUAAAUUUUGCAAUAUUUCAAUUUUACCCUUAAUUCUCCAAUUCUCCUGAUUUUUCUCAGCUUAUGCCGCCCCAAAUAUCUCCUUUUGGGCCUAUUUACAAUUUAUGUCCCUCCUCAUUUAACAAUUGAGCUAUUUAAUCCUUUUAGUAACUUUUACAUCCUUUUCAAUUUAGUUCUUUUCACUUAAUUAACUACCCAAACGUAAAAAUUUUCUAACGAAAAUUUAAUACCAUAUUACUAACACUUCAUAAAUAUUUUUAAAAAUAUUUCCGACUCGGUUUUACGAGAUCGAGGUCUAGAUACCUUGUUUUUACCCAAUUUCUUCAAUAAUUUUUUUUCUAAUUUAACCACUAAAUCGGUAAUUAUUUUAUUGAUAUUUUCAUACGAUUUUCCUAUCAUAUCAAUAUUCAUGCAAAAAUAUUAAAAUAAAUUUCUUUUUAAAUCAGAUUUGUGGUUACGAAACCACUGUUCCGAUAACCUUGAAUUUCGGCCAUUACAGGUUGUGGCUCUUCAAAAUUAUAUUCAUUGAGUGCAUAUAAAUAGAGGCAUUAUGGUGCUCACAAAUGAUAUAAUUACAAUCAAUCCUAUUUUCAGAAACUAGAGUAAGAGUUAGGGAAUUCAUCGAUUUUACUAAUCAAAGAAAAUUUAAAACUUCGUUGUAUCCCGGAAGGACCUUUGUCUUAACCUUAUAGCAACAAGUCAGUGGCCAAUUUUAUCACCUAAAAACGUUCCAAAACAAAAUAUACAUUUAUAAUUAUUUUUAAAUAUUCAACAAGCCGUUUUUUUUAUAAAAAUAAUAUCUAAAAAAUUAAUUAAUUACAAAAAUAAGGUGCUUGUUAUAGUAUUUUGCAGUGUCACUAAAUACAUUUGUAGCAUCACCUUCACUUUUUGUCCAAUCAUUCAGCAAUCAUGACAUUUAAAAAAAAUUAAAAAUAUGUAUAUCGGUGACACACCAGCGGCAUCGCUGUCAAUUUAAAAAAAAAUGCUGACAGAAAAUAGUAACGGAAAAAAUAAAGGGAAAAAAAAUGCCUGACACACCACUAGAUAUGGAAUUAAAUUAAAAGAGAAAUUUCAAAAAGUGACACCAACUAUCGUUUUGUUUCAUUGUUGGGGAAGAGAAACUACAUGUAGUAGUCACAAACGAUUUCGGGUUGGGAGAAUUAAAUUAAAAAAAUUAAAUCCAUGAAAAUAUAUGUAUUUUUAAAAAUAUGUUGCCCAAAAAAUAUUAUUUUUAAAACAUCAUGAUUGCUGCAUGAGACAGCAAACAUUUCAUUUUUGUAAUUAAUCUGUCCUCCACCCAUAAUUGUAAUUAAUUAAUUUUUUAAUAUUAUUUUUAUAAAAAAAUGCCUCAAUAAGCUAAAAGAUGUUGUGAAACAUCAAUUUAUACGUGUAAGUACUUCUAUUUUUUUGGUUUUUGUUAUAUGAUAUGAAAAUCACUGACACGGAUGAUAUACCAAGAGAUUAAGACUUAAUUUAACUAAAUUUUUUUACUUUUGAAAAAAAUACUUAGAAAAAUUACUUUUUCUUUCAAACAAUGGUUUAUUUAGAAAUAUUGUUGUUCCAAAAAAUUUUCUGCCAAAUGUAAUAAGGUUCGUGGAAUUAAAUUUGUCAUGAAAAAUAAAUUGAGGUCGUAAUUAUAGGAGGGGAACAUGACAUGUGGUAGGGAUCUACUAAGAAUCAAAUGAGUUUAUUUGAAGGAAAAUUUGUAUAUUUACUAUUUAGAUUUGUGCCACAACCAAUGUUUAAUGUUUUCGAUUUAGACAUAUUCAUGAGUUGAGUCGCUUGAAAAGUUGGAGGAUUUAAGUAAAAAUAUAGAUCUGAAAAUAGGUUUGGGCAAAAAAAUAUUACCCAUUUAAAAAACGGGUCAAGCCUCGGGUAAGGCUUUUUGGCCCGGGCCUAAACCGGCCCGAAUAUGCAAAAAAAUUUGUUGCUUUUCCUUGCUUUUUUAACUCUUUUUUUUGUUAUUUUUUCAUUAUUUUUCUACCAUUUCGAUAUUAUGUUAGUACUAUUUUUGUAGUUACUGUUUGGAUAUUGUAUAACUCUUAUUUUAUUGUUAAUUUUGUUACUAUUUUAAAAGCAUUUGCUUGUUAAAUUGCACAUUUCUUAGUGUUAUUUAAGUAUAUAUAUAUAUUUAUUUUCAAUUUUUUGGGAAACAUUUAUUUUAAUAUUUUUGAUGUAUUAUAUAUUUUAAAAUUUAUAUAAUAAAAAAUAUAAAAAAUUAAUAUAGGCGGGCCUAGACACAAGUUUUAGCAUUAUUAUCCGAGCUGGGCUUAAGCAAAAUAUUAUGCUCAUUUUUGGGCCGAGUCAAUUUCAGGCCCAAAAAAUAGGCCUAAAAUUUUUGUUGGGCCCGACCCGACUCAUGGGCACUUCUAAUUCGAUUGUGACAAAUAAGACUAUCAUGUAUCAAUUCUUAAAUUGGAUAACGGUUAAUGAACAUCUAUCAAUAGUUGUUUAAAAUUAUCUAGAGUUUAGAGUUUGGUUGUGGAACUUGAUGCAAUAUAAGAUAUUAUAUACAACCAUCGAGAAAAGACAUUACAUUGCGUGAAGGCAGAUUAGUCUUAAGCCAAUAUAUUAUCGAAUGGAUUGUUGAAUAAAUUAUUUACUGAUUAAGAAUUCGUAAAACAAAAUUAUUUACAAAGUUUAUAUGUCUGCAAUUGAUAACUUAUAUGUAAAAACAUUUGUUGAGACAAAUUAUUUAAACAUAACUAACUUACCAAACGCAAAUGUUUAAAAAUUCAAGCAAUAAAAAUGCAUUACCUCAUAAAGUCAACCAGUAAUAUCAACGCUAUUGUAGUCUUGAAAAUCACUGCGUAAUUCGUAAUUUGUAAAACAAUGUUUUAUUUGAUUUAGUAUGUUUAUUAGCCAUUUUUUAUAAUCGCAUUAAAGAAAACCAAUAUACAUAAAAACGUAAAUCAACAAAUAAAUUGCACUAAAAUAAAACUUAUUAAUAAAAUCAUUAAUUUUCUUUUUCUUUUUCUCUUUUCCAUUUAAAGAUAAUUUUAAAAUAAAAUAAUCUCAUACGUUGAAGUGAAAUCACAUCCUAUCGUUCACGAGUAGGGGUGUGCAUAAUUCGGGUAAAACUGAAAAAAUUCGGUUAACUAAAUUUUUUUGGUCAGGGGUCGGUUAAUUUUUUUUAUGAUUUUUCGGUUAACGGUUAAUUCGGUUCGAAACCGGUCGGUUAACUGAAUUUUUUUGGUUUAACCGAAAAAAUUAAUAAAUAAAAUUAUCCAACCCAAUAAAACUAAAACUGAAGUCUACCCAAUUGCCCAACCCAAUAAAACUAAAAUUAAAGUCUAUCCAAUUACCAACCCAAUAAAAAUAAAACUAAAGUCUAACUCUAAGUCUCUACUCAAUUACACAUGUUUUUUUUUUUAAGUUUAAUGCAAAUGAGAAUUUUUUGGAGAGAAGAAAUGGAUAUAAAUGGAGAAUGUUAAAGACUUACAUUUCAAUUAUGUGUUAAUUUCAAGACUUAUGUAAUGUUUUUAAUUAUGUAGUGAUUCAAUUUGGGUAAUUCGGUUAACUAAAAAUAAAAACCAUACAAUUUUUGGUUAAUUCAGUUAACCGACCUAAUUAACCGAAAAAAAAUUGGUUUAGUUAAUGUUUUUUCUUUUUAAAUUCGGUUCGGUUAACGGUUAAAAAUUUUAGAAAUUCGGUUAAUUCGGUUAUAGCUAUUUCGAGUAGGUUAACCAGUCGGUUAACUGAAUGCACACCCCUAUUUACGAGUCUCGCGAAUUUUUUAUACAUCCACUCAAACAAGAAAUAGAAAUAGAAGUGUUAGAAAUGGACCACUCUCUCAAAUUAUUUCUGUCAUCCAUUUUUAGUUUAAUAUAAUAUAAGAAUAAGUAAUCACGAAAUUAAUAUUUUUAUAAUUAUGUUUAAUAUAAUAACAAAUUAAAUUUUUUAUGUUUAUAUAUUUUAUUAAUUUAGUCUUAAAAAUACAUAUACAAAUAAAUAAAAUGUGCACAUUUUGAGGACUAAAUUUAUUAUUAUACAAAAAUAAUAAAAAAAUAUUAAUAUUGCGACUAAUUAUCCUUAAAUGCUCAUUGUUAAAAUUGAUAAGGAUUAUACUAUUUUGAUUAUUUUUUAAAAUAACAAUUUGUUUAAUAUUGAAAUAAAAAUUUCAAAAUUGGACCGCUUAUCCGAUCUAUCAUACCUCUGAUUCAUCACUCAAGUUAGUUCCAUUAAAUAGGUUAUUAAAAAUUUAUAAAAACAAAAAAUAUAAAACGUCUAGUUCAACCGAUUUUUGUCCAGCUUAAUUAAUCUAUAUCAAAUUCUGAAUCAAUCAAUUCUGAUCCAACUCAUUUGACCAAACGAUCUAGUACCAUUCAAACAACCUUAAUUGAGAUAGAGGGGAAUUCAUUUUACCUAUAAAUAUAAUUUAAUAUAAUAUUUUUGGACGGUAAUUUAAUAUAAUUUAAAAUAACUUAGUUGUAUAUUUGUAUUGCCGUAAGUUGCUUUUUUGGCAGAAAAUGUCAUUUCAGGCAUAACAAAAGCCGGAAAGCAAACAAGGCAACAAUAAAAUCAAGCGGUCUAAAGAACUCCACGAGGUCCCCGCGUCCACAGAAUGAAAAGGUGGAUUUAAAGCGUGUAAUUUAACUCCAAUUCAUAAGCACGGCGGAAUCCGAGCACAGCCUCGCUGGAUUCUCCUUAAAGCGCACAAAAUUACACACAACAAAAUCGAUCAAAGAGGCUAAGGACUAAGGAGGAAAAUGAAAAAGCUAAAAUUUUUAAAAUUAUAAAAUUUAUCUUUUACUAUGUUCAAUUUUCUUUUUUUACAGUAUUCCCUCUGCAAUUUUUUAAUUAACCAAAAAAAACCCUCACCCCAUCAACUUCCGCUUUCUCGUUCCGGGAAAAAACUCCGAAAACCCUAACUUUCUCUCGAGUAAAAUCUCCUCCUCCCUCUCUCGCUGAAUCCACCUUUCGUUUCACGUUUUAUGGCCUUUCGCGUGAGUCUGUAGGUUUUCAAUGGUGUGAAAUCGAGGCCUUAGACUAAGAUUUGAAGGAUCUGUUUCUGUAUAUUUAGGUACAUAGAAUAUAUAUUUUUUCAUAGAGAAAAAAGCUAUGACGGCAUCUGAGAAAGAGCUGGAGCUACAGUUAAUGGAGGCUGGAAACAGGCUCGUCGAACCCCCGUCGUCAGUCGCUGAGCUCAUCCCUCUCCUUGACGUAAUCCCUAAUCCAUCCUUUUACUAUUUUUCCUUAACUUCAUUUUGCUCUUCGUUAAUUUUUUUCCCUAUUAUUUGAUUUGUCUGAUUUUAUUAUGUAUGCGUUUUCGAAAUUUUUCGUGUGGUUCUUUCUAUGCAAUUAAUUUAGUUAGAUUUCCCCCCAUACUGAUCUGCUUUUACCCCUUUUUUUCCUAAGAUUUUCUUCUUUUGCAUUGUUUUCACGUGCUUAUUUCUGCUCUUGUUCUCACUGAUGUAAGAUUGAAUCAGUUUAAAAGUGUUUUCUGCUAAUGGGUAUUGUUUAGCACUCUUCAGUCUAAACUAUUGUAAUUUAUAUUUAUUGUGGAUAUAUUGCCAUGUCUAUGUUUUCGAAUUUGAUGAAUUACUGAUAUGCACGACGUGUUUGCUUUACUAGAGUUUAAAUGGUGGAAUUUCUUUGUUUUUGGAUGCAAAUGCUAUGCAGUAGCUAAUAUUUCGAUGAAAUGAUACACAGUUUUGAGAUUUCUUUUGAAUUCAAAAUUGCCCAAGCUGCAUUUAAGUGAUUGCAUAUGUGAAAGUGUGCGUUUUUCUUGUCCAUAUGUCACAUGUCAGGCUUUAAGUUUAUGAAACCUGAGGAUUAGUAUAUAAUAGAUAUAUCAUUAUUUUUUGUUUAGAUAAUUAAGCACCACCUAUGUUUAGCAAUUAAUUUCUGACAGGCUACUUAAAAUUUUAAUAACCAACUUGUGAUGACAUUGAAAGCAUUGAAAAUUAAGUUGGAAAGGAUGUGUAGAUAUUGUGUGAAAGGAUUCCUUGUAAGCAAGGAUUUUGUUUGGCAUGUGAGAUUACGAUGUUAUUGCAUUAAACAUUUAUGUUAAUUAUAGAUAUAUUUGCAAAUAUUUAAUCUAUUUCCUUAGAGGGAUGAUGCAUCGGAAUCUGUUAUUUUUAAUGAAUUUCACCUCAUCUUUUUUAUACCUCUAGGAAGAUCUGUCCUGCCAAAAUUUUGUGUCCCAAGUAAGGAGCUAUUAAAAUCCACUAUGGAUGCUUGAUAGGAUAGAAUUUCGACUCCAUACUUGAUGAUGUCCUUUAUUUUUAUGGUCUUUGCAACCUUUUGGUUUUCUUCUGCCCCAGAACUCCAUUUACAAAUGAUAGCAAUGUCAAAGAAGAUUCUGGAAUUGUGAUAUACCGCACAACUCUGGUGCUAUUCCCUGUUUAGACAAAAUUAUGUGUACUCAUGAUGUCAAGCAAGAAAACUUUGAAGAGGAUGUGCAAAAAAAGUGAUACUAGUGCAACUAUUCGUUUUCCUUUGGUACAUUGUUUUGUCUGGAAUCAAUGUCUCCUUUAAAUCAUCGCUCUAGGUUUAGCGUCUCUUAGGGUUUCACUACUUGUUCUUGAGCAGGUGGCUGCUGUAAAACCAUGCAUGAAUUCUGUUUUAGAAUGCCCUAGGAAUUUAGUAAUGACUGCAGUGUGAUUCCAGUGAUGAGUGUGUGCUGAAGUGUUUGGUUUGUAGUCAAUUUGAAGUACAAAAUUUUAAGUAUUUUGGUUUUGCUCUCCUUAUUUUACAAGGGGAUAAUUCGUGCUGCUUUUUUUUACUGCCAGCUUUACCAUUCUAUUUCUGUUCUUGUGGAGCAUUAUAGCUGUAUAGGUAAUUUUUUCACUUCCUAAUGAUAUGUGGGCUCAUUGAUUGUUUGAAUUUUUAGGUGCUUUAGCAUUCCCGUGUUUUGCCUUAUGCCAGUGCUUUUUAUAUUUACUUUUUACAUUGAUGAUUAUUGUUUAUUCUUUUCUAUCCCUCGUGAAUAUAGCAAGUUGAGAGUUGUCUAUCAAGGGUGGAACAAUCACCAAGCCAAUCAAUGCAAAAUGCACUGUCUCCAUCACUCAAAGCAUUGGUAGCAGAGCACCUGUUCAGACAUCCUGAUGAUGAUGUAAAAGUUGCAGUUGCUGCUUGCAUCAGCGAGAUAACAAGGAUAACUGCACCUGAUGCUCCUUAUGAUGAUGACCAGAUGAGGGUACGUUGAAUUCAUUGCUUCAGGAUGCUUUGCAGAUCAUGACCAUUUUAAAAUCAUUUUCUGUAUUUAUUGCCUUUAAUAUGUAUGCAGGAGGUUUUUCAACUGAUUGUGUCAUCCUUUGAGAAUUUAUCUGACAAGUCCAGCCGUUCAUUCAUUAAGAGGACCUCGAUUCUUGAAACUGUUGCCAAAGUCAGGUCGUGUGUGGUGAUGUUGGAUCUUGAAUGUGAUGCCCUUAUUGUUGAGAUGUUCCAGCAUUUCCUCAAGGCAAUAAGGUAAAAGUGAACUUCUUGAAUGGAGAGUUCAUUCUCUUGUUGUGUUUCAUCAUUGUUAUUCUUCAGUUAUUGUCUCCUAGUUAUUGUCUGAUUUGUAAGCUUUUAUCUGUUAAGUUUAUUGCUUUUGAAAACUUUCUUUUCAGUUCUUUGUCUUGGUCUCUUGUGGAUGAACCUGUGCUUUUGCAGAAGCUGUUCUCUUAAUGUCAAGUGAUGAUCAUGGCUGCUGUGAAAUUUUAACUACGUGUUUAAAAUGAUAGACUGCUAUAUAGGUUUCUGAAUAAUGGAGAUUAUGCUCCCUCUAGAGUGUCUGGAUUUAAACCUUUCAUUAAGUAGUUGCCUAUGUUAGGUAACAGAUCUUCAGUUCCUUCUAAUCUGAACAAAGUUUAAGUGCUUUUUUAAGAAUUCUAAGUUCCUUUAGGGAGCUUUGUCUUGGUCAAGUUUUUCAUAGAGUUUGUUUUCAUAUUAAAAUUUUGUCGUCAUCCAAAUGUACCACUACUUAACUAGAGUACUAGUAUGAAAAAUAAUAAAAAUGGUUUAGUAUUCUAUGUCGAACAUGUAUUCUGAUCCUUUAUUUUCCUUAUGAUUCUUUUUGUUUAUUUUUUCAGGGAUUAUCAUGCAGAGGCAGUCUUUACAUCGAUGGUGACUAUUAUGACCCUUGUGCUGGAAGAAAGUGAAGAUAUCCCUACAGAGCUGCUCUCCCCAAUCUUAUCUAGUGUAAAGAAGGAUAAUGAGGUCUGUUGUCAUACGAGUAAGUUACUGCCUUUCACUUCUGCUAUCUUUGCUUAAUUCACCUAGGGUUUCUAUUUCCUCUCAGGAAGUUCUUCCUGUUGCUCGGAAGUUGGCAGAGAAAGUGCUUGAAAACUGUGCAUCAAAGCUUCAACCAUACCUAACCCAAGCUGUAGAGAACUUGGGAAUUUCUUUUGAUGAUUAUAGUAGUAUAGUUGCUUCUAUAUGUGGGGCGACAGCUGGUGCUGUAGAGCGGGAUGAUGCUGCUGUUGGAAAACUUGCGGUAAUUACGUCAUUUGUAUCUUAAUGUAACUGCUUAAUUUCAAAGUCUGUGGUUUGAGGGCAAUUAUUUACUUAUUUUGUGCUGUGAUUUUGUAUGAAUUUUGACUCAGCAUUAUUUGCUGAUAGAUUAUUUGCUACUUAAUUAUACAAAAUUUAAUGCUUUUUAUUUAUAUAUUGUGUGUGUCAACACUUUGUUCUAGGGCUUUUUGUGGAUUAUCUUUUAAUUUUUUCUUUUGGUCAAACUAUUCUUCAAACCAACAAGUUUUUGGCUCAUGCUUACACCUUACUGAUGUCUUCUAUUUUUUUAUUAACAUAACUUAGUCUCCUACUCUCCUUAUGUUUCUCUUUUUGGGUUGAUUUGCUGUAGGAUGAUGAGAAAAUACCAGCAGAGGCACCUUUGGAGAACGCAGCCCAGGUAUGUUUUAUUUCGUAUAUUUAUUGUCAAUUGUGUGAUUCUUCUCUUUGCGUGCGGAUUCUAGUCCUUUCUCUUUCCUUUUAAUGUAUUGAGUAUUUUUUUUUUGAGAAUUUAAUUCCUGAAUUUGUCAUUUAUAAAUAUUCAAAAUUCCUAUCAGGGGGAUAAAAAGAUUCCUAAAGAAGCAGUUUCAAUUGAACAAGUGGCCCUUGUAAAUGAAAAGACUCCCGUGCCAGUUGCUUGCAAUGGCAUUAUGCAAACUGCUGAUUCAAUCUCUGUAAAGAAGCAAGAGGAUGAUCACAUUGCUGAUAAGUCCGAGAAUGAAACAUCAACUGUGGCUGAACCUGAUUUAUUGGAAGCUGAGAAAGUGGUCGAUCCAGACCCUAAGUUAGAGCAAAGUACCCAGGAAAAGGAGAGGAAAUCUGAUUCAAAAUUAACUGAACUUUCUGGCAGCUCUCAGGUUGAUGAGAAGGAAGUUGAGACUAUACCGGAUCGUAAACAUGACUGCAAGGAUGGUGAUGGUUCUCAAUGUCGAGAUGUGUCUGUUGAUGGGGAUGUAUCCUCUGAAAAUAGAAGAGAGACAGAUUUUCAGCAUUCCUCUCCAAAAGCAAUUGAGGAUAAAUCGACUGAUGUUGCUUCCCCAACACCAAGUGGGACUGUAAUUGUUGAUGGUCAUUCCAAAAGGGUAUCAAGGCCAAAAAAGAAAGACAGCGUAAACAAGGAGACAACAUGUUCUGUUGAUGACUUCUCUAAGAAGUCGCAUGAAGGGACAAGUGAUUCUGAAGCAAAAUCAAAUAGACAAUCAGGAAAAAAGGGUUCUACUGUAGUUUCCAACGAGGAUAAUGCUCCAGUUAGUGUAGAUGAAACUAAGAAAGAAAGUGACAUUGCAAGUGAUUCGGAGGCAAAAUCACUGAAGAAGUCAUCAAAGAAGGUAGAUUCUAGUGGUAACAACUUAGAUAAAUCCUCUUCAAAGCAACUGGAGGAUAAGAAUAGGCUAGCUCGGGGUAAAGUUGCUCCUGUGAAGGAUGGAACAAAAAACUCAACCAAGAAUGAUGAUGAGGUAAUUUCUUUUUGGCUUAUAACGUGUAAUUUAGCUAUUGUAGUAAUGUUUAUUAUUCAAAGCUUUGUGAUUUAUUUGUUUAGCUGUACUUGAUCCUUCAAUCAAGGGAAUCAUUCUUGCUUACUAUUGAUUUAGGAAGUGAUUGGAUCUCCAAAGUCAGUGAAGCCAAACAAACAAGAUUCUCACAAGGAGGGGACCCCUAAGACAAAUUCCAAGAGAAAGCAUAUGCCAAGUAAAGAAAAAGUAAUGUCUUUUUGCAUCUUUAAGGAUGAAAUUUUAGUAGUGGUGUAUUGUCGUUUUGGUAGGUUGCAUUUAAAUAAAGGUGGCAUCUACGCUGCUAUGAUUUUUCAUGUUUAUUGAUGUACUGUGUUUGUUUCUAAUGUUCGAAGCAUAUCUAGACAUAGAUAUGGGCUUACGUACUUGCAAGGGGCCACUCAAUACAUGGAAAAUUUGAAAAAAAUUAAACAUACCUGUGUCCAUCACUAACAUCUCAGUCUGAGAAACACAGGCCAGAAUUGUAGGUGGCCUUUGAUGAUGUUUGUGGGUUUGAACUCUUAAUGAUUUCUCCAUUCUUGCAUCCUUGAUGAUCAUUUUGCUAUUCACAGGCCAUUUAACUUUUCUUGCUUUCUUCUUAAUUCUCAUAUUGGCUUUUUUCUGAUUAUUCCUGUGAUUGUCUAGAUUUUUACCUUUAGAUUUUCUUGAAGCGUUUAAUUUUAGCCUUCAAAAAGUUGUCUUUCAUGUUGUUUCCUCAUUUUUUUUCCUUUGUUUCUUAAAGAUUUUUCUUCUUUCAAAAUUAUGCCUGUCUAGCGACAUGCUGUAUUUAACCAUCUUUGAGGUAAUUUAUCUUUCAAGAGCCAUUUGACAUUAGUUUGAUAUUUUCACAAGGUUCCAGUUUGUGUGUUUCUUUGGAAACUGUAAGCCUGCAAUGCUGUCCUUAUUCCUUUCUAUAAAACCCACCAAGCCUGCAAUGCUGUCCUUAUUCCUUUCUAUAAAACCCACCAAACCAAUGGUCUGCUGCACAACUAUUGCAUUCGUGUGAGUGCUAACUUAUGUAUUUUUCGCUUGUUGUUUCUUGAGAUCGAAGCUAAUUGUGUAUUGUCUGCAAUAUUGAAAUUUGGAGUAAAUAGGCUCAAAUAAUUCUAUAGUAAACCUUUUAUUCGACUCUGUUCAUGCAUGCUGCGGUCUGAAGAUGGUUGAAGCAAUGAUAUUACAUAUCAUUCUUCCGGAGACGAAUGAUUUUUUUUUUAUUAAUUCUUUUCAGUCUUCUGAUUCUAUGGAGUAUGGUGAGAAUCUUGUCGGCUUGAAGGUGAAGGUCUGGUGGCCCAAAGACCGUGAGUAAGUAUAUAUAUUUUUCAAUUGUUGCAGAAGUGAUCCUCUGAAUUAGAAACCAUGAAUUUUAUUUGUUUAUAUAUUCUUUUUUAUGAGGAUGCACAUGCGGGCAUUUUUCUCAAAUUGUGCUUAUAUAUGUGGGAGCCCCCAUCCCUCAAAUUAUAAUGUGAAUGAAUUAAAGUUGGUUAGCCUUGAAGCUUAUUAUCAUUAUAUAAGCUCCUUUUCCCUUGUUCUCUCACACUUGAAUCUUUUAUUUGCUGCAAGAAAAAAAAUGAUAAAUGUAAAGUGUUCUCUUUCAAACAUGGCAUGUCUGCUAAUUUCUUUCUCGUCUUAUGGAUAUUGUUUUGCAGGUUCUAUGAAGGUUUUAUUCAUUCAUUUGAUUCCGCUAAAAAGAAGCACAAGGUGGCACGUCUAAUAAGUGGAAAUUCAUUUUAAUGUUUUAUUUUCCUUAGUAUGUUACUGGAAGUUUUUCCUCUGACCAUUCAUGCUAGAAUGUAUUAAAUUAUUUUCUUCACUUUUCAUUUGUUUAUAGGUGCACUAUAAUGACGGUGAUGAAGAAAUUUUAAAUCUUAAAAGAGAAAAGUGGGCUGUGAUUGAAGAUGAGUCAGGGUCAGAUGAGGUGGGCACCUUAUAAGCAAUUGUUUUUUUAUUUGUUCAUGUACUAUGUUGCUUAUGUUUCAUUGAAACAGGAAGGUGCAGCAAAUCUACCAAGUCCUGAUGGUUCAUCUGACAUGUAGGUGAUUCCUAUUUGUGAUUCUUGAAUGUUAAAUUUGAUUGCACGACCAUUUUGGUUCCAGAUGGUUCUGUGCAUUUUGGUAUUGUAUGAUGAACUUUUGCGUAGUUGGCAUCUAUAGUUUAAGUUGAUUCUUUUCCAUUCUUUAGCAUUGUUAAUUUUAUCUGAAAUGUGGAGUUUAUUUCAGGUUUAGGUGUUAUAUCUGGUAUAAGUUUGCAUUUCUGUUUCACAAUCCUUGUUUGCGCUUAUCUUCUUUUCCCUUGUGAUCAUUUUUUAGUGGCGGGCCUCAAAAGAAGAAGGCAAAAACAGCUGAUCCCUCGAGCAAGAAAGCUAAGAUGGAUGCUUCACCAAAAAGGUUAUUAGAUUCUUUCAAAUGGAACCCUUGAUAUGUUAUUUAUUUGAUUUCUGAAAAUCCCAAUAUUGGAUGGUCAGGGGUGGAGUAACUUCGUCGGGGAAAUCCAAGGGUAGUGCCACAAAGUCUGGUCGCAAAACAAAGGAAGAUGCUAAAGUGGAUGGGAAAUCCAAAGAUGGUUCCAAGAGUGUCAGUAAAUCUGGCAAUGACAGUGUUGCUAAGUCCAAGGAUCCUAGCACCCCCAAAACUGGCAGUAAACCAGUUGACAAUGCUUCAAAAGCAGACAAGAAGUCCAAGAAUGAGGAGAGUGGUGAAACACCGAAGUCUACGAAAUCCAAGGAUGAUGGAAGUGCCACACCAAAAGCUUCCUCAAAGUUAAAACAAGACGUUCCAAAGACGGGCAAUUCCAAGCAGGAAACCCCCAAAAUUUCGUCCCAAUCUAAGGGUAAGCCUCUUAAGAGUGGGGGCAAAUCCAAUUCUAAUGGCACUGGUAAGUCAAAGUCUGGUUCGUCAAAGGUGAAAGAAAGAGAAAGCAUGAAAGAGAGCUCAACUGAUUCAGGAAAAGUUGUGGGAAGUGUGAAGCGGAAAGCACCAAGUUUGUUGAAGGCGCAGGGAAGUGAUUCAAGUCUGGAAAAAAGAGGCAAAGAUGAGUUGAAAGUCGCACCUACUGCAUUGUCAUUUGCCAAGGGUUGGUUCUUCUCCAAUGUGGAACUUGGGUGAAUUGUAGUAUUUAUUGUAGCAUUUGGGUAUUUGACGUAGAUCUUAGGUUUGUGGCUAGCAAAUAUUCGUAGUUAAUGCAGUUUAUAGUGGUUGUACUUUGUAGGGUUACGAUACCUUUUUUAUAUAGAUAUAGUUUUUUUUCCUUUUCCUUUAUUAUUGAUGCCAGGCGUUAGGAUCACAUUGGGUUUAGAGUUUUUGCCUUUGUACCAAAGAGUUGCUUCUAUAGAUUAACGUAAUAGAUUGGAUUCGAGAAACUGUGGAAGCAGUGGUGGCGUAUCCUUUUCUAUCGAAUGCCUUCCCCUUUUUAACGAUUUGCUUUUUUUUUUGUUUGGUCCGAUUACAUCUUCUUAAAAGUAAAUAUAGAACUUAACUGAUAGUACACGAGAUGCGGUAUUAUCUAUUUCUAUA
rnacentral:lncRNA from 1 species